rnacentral:rRNA from 1 species
UGGGGAAUAUUGCACAAUGGGCGCAAGCCUGAUGCAGCCAUGCCGCGUGUGUGAAGAAGGCCUUCGGGUUGUAAAGCACUUUCAGCGGGGAGGAAGGCGGUGAGGUUAAUAACCUCAUCGAUUGACGUUACCCGCAGAAGAAGCACCGGCUAACUCCGUGCCAGCAGCCGCGGUAAUACGGAGGGUGCAAGCGUUAAUCGG